rnacentral:lncRNA from 1 species
GCAACAAACUUCACAUCCAUCAGAUUCUUAUCAUGAACCAGGUUCUUUGCUUACAUUCGCAUAGGCAUAUCGGGUCUGGUUUUACUUGUCAGGGGGGACUGAAGAAAGCACAAGGCGUAAGUUCCUCCAAGAGCAUUCUUGGAGCAGCAUCUCCUCGCUGUCCUGGGGUGUAGCCUCCCUUUUGUGAGGUUCACUCCCUCAGCUGGAGGAUGAACCACAGUGCUGCUGCAGACCUAGCUGAUGUCACAGUUGUUCAAAAGGU